rnacentral:snoRNA from 1 species
UCCUAUGAUGACGUAAUUUGCGAUUGAGUCUGGCGUCGGAGUCCCUCGCCGGGGACUCAUAACGGCGCCGGCCCAGUGAUAUUCAAUUUCUUACAUAUUCUGAGC